GUUCAGUGCUCACCUGGUGAAAUAUCCAAUCAAACUGGUAAGAACGAAUGAUGAUAGGAAAGGGGAGAAAGCUACAACUGUACUGGCUAAUUUCAGAGGUGAAUGUAGGAGUAUUAUUUCUGUUUUAAAAAAUCAAACAAAUUAGGAAUAAGGAGAGUGCUGGCCUAUUGUAAGAGUGGAGCUAUAGGACCCAGUUUAUAUCUGUGAAAAACACUCAAGUCCGAAUUUUAUUUCACCUCGCAGCAAUAAAAUGCUAUGGGAAUAUGAAUUUUAAAAGAAGGUAAGAUAACAAAAGUAAAAGAAAUAUAAACAAUAAGGCUGCAUGGAAAAUGUACAUUAGUCCAUAAACUAUGAGGAGGAGACCUAUAUCUUUCCAGAAUAACAUCAGGAAAAGAGUGCAACUUUGCAGAGCCAUCAUCUAAAAUACCAUUCAAUUAAGCAGAAAAAACCUGCAAUAAGGCUUGAAAAAAUGAAUAAAUCAAAGAACAUGUCGACUACAUUGGACAUAAGAAAUAGAUAGAUUAAGUAUUACAAGAUUGACUUAAAUUGUUAAUCCAAGUACCUUGACAAUAUCAGUGAUUUGACGAAGUCCUUGUUGCCUGGAUUAUGUACGUGCAAAAUGAACUCCACCUCCGGCAGCAUCAUUGGGGCAUCAGUAGCAAGCUCACCCUCAUUAAAAUCUCUCCCCCUCCAGUAAGGGUACUGAUUUUAGAAUAAAGGAUUGGGCUGAGGGGAGAACUUGGCCUCAAGUUUAGCUUAAAGGGACAUACCCCUAAUGCACUUUAGUUUGCAAACAAGUUUUAUGUGUGAAGAGUGUGACCUCUUUUUUCAAUUAGCAUAAAGUACAAAUUUCCAUAGAAAUUUACACUUUUAUAAAUUAAGGUGGCUACCCCUUCUUCCCCUCCCCCACCUGCCUCAAUUAAGAUAAACUCAAGAGGCAGCAAUUGCCCAGAGCACCUGUCUUGCAAAGAUUUCUUAUUGAGCUUCAUUGGUAAAUUUGUGAUUGGACAGACACAUAAAAUCUAGGAGGGGUUAGUAGGGGAGGGCUUGCAAAGGCUACAGACACGUUAACUGCAGGUUUUGCAUGCUGCUUUAACAUUAAACCUCAAUGACAAAAAUGCAUAAUUAAAUGCAUACAUGUUGUCAUUUGGAAUAUAUAUUCUAAACAGCGAUUUUUAUUUAUUUUUUAUAUGGGCCGUGGAGUGUCCCUUUAAUUAUAUCCAUAUUUUUUUUUUUUUUUAAAAGACUGACUAGCACAGCAAGUGUUACUCUAGCCAAAAAUAGUACUUUAUGAAAAAACUAUUUUUUGGUUGGAAUAACCAUUUAAACGUGAAACUAUCAAAUUCCAUGAAUCCUGGGAUGUAAAGCUCUGCGGAACUAGUUGGCACUAUGAAUACCAAUAAUAAUAGGAAUAAUAGUUACAUAGUUACAUAGCUGAAAAGAGACUUGCGUCCAUCAAGCUCAGCCUUCCUCACAUUUGUUUUUUGCUGUUGAUCCAAAAGAAGGCAAAAAAAAACAGUUUGAAGCACAAUUUUGCAACAAGCUAGGAAAAAAUUUCCUUCUUGACCCCAGAAUGGCAGUCAGAUUUAUCCUUGGAUCAAGCAGUUAUUACCCUACAUUGAAAGAUUAUAUCCUUGAAUAUUCUGUUCUUGCAAGUAUGCAUCUAGUAGCCGUUUGAACAUCUGUAUGGACUCUGAUAAAACCACUUCCUCAGGCAGAGAAUUCCACAUCCUGAUUGUUCUUACAGUAAAAAAACCUUUCCUUUGCCUUAGGCGAAAUCUUCUUUCUUCCAGUCUAAACGCAUGGCCUCGUGUCCUAUGUAAAGUCCGGUUUGUGAAUAGAUUUCCACACAAUGGUUUGUAUUGGCCCCGAAUAUAUUUGUAUAAUGUUAUCAUAUCCCCUCUCAGGCGACGUUUUUCUAAACUAAAUAGGUUUAAAUUUGUUAACCUUUCUUCAUAGCCGAUAUGUUCCAUUCCUUUUAUUAAUUUUGUAGCCUGCCUCUGCACUUUUUCUAGUGCCAUAAUAUCCUUCUUUAGAACAGGUGCCCAAAAUUGCACAGCAUAUUCAAUAUGGGGUCUUACCAGUGAUUUAUAAAGAGGCAAAAUUAUAUUCUUGUCCCGAGAAUGAAUGCCCUUUUUCAUGCAUGACAAUACCUUACUGGCCUUGGCCACUGCUGAUUGACAUUGCACAUUGUUGCAUAGUUUGUUGUCUAUAACAAUUCCCAAGUCCUUUUCAUGUGUUGUUAUCCCUAAUUCGCUUCCAUUAAGGGUAUACGUUGCUUGUGUAUUCUUUACGCCGAAGUGCAUAACUUUGCAUUUUUCAACAUAAAAUUUCAUCUGCCAUUUGAGUGCCCAGUCUCCCAGUCUAUCUAAAUCCCUCUGCAGCAAAGUAAUAUCUUGCUCACAUUGUAUUGUUUACAAAGUUUUGUGUCAUCUGCAAACACUGAAACAUGACUUUCAAUGCGGUCUUCAAGAUCAUUUAUAAACAUGUUAAAUAGAAGGGGUCCCAGAACAGACCCCUGAGGGACACCACUUGCCACCUCUGUCCAGCUUGAAAAUUUACCAUUAAUGACAACUCUUUGUACUCUGUUUUUAAGCCAAUGUUCUACCCAAGAACAAGCAUUUUCAUCUAGACCGAUUUCCUUGAGUUUGAACACUAAUCUAUUGUGUGGAACUGUAUCAAAUGCCUUGGCAAAAUCCAAAAAGAUCACAUCCACGGCAACACCCUGAUCUAUACUUCUACUUACUUCUUCGUAGAACGCAAUCAAGUUAGUUUGACAUGACCUGUGCUUCAUAAAACCAUGCUGAUUUUUGCUGAUAACCAUGUUCUUCUCAAGGAAUUCUUGAAUAUUAUCCCUUAAUAAACUUUCAAAUAUUUUACCAGCCACAGAAGUUAAGCUCACAGGUCUAUAAUUUCCAGGCAAGGAUUUUGAACCCUUUUUGAAUAUAGGAACCACAUCUGCCUUCCUCCAAUCCUCCGGAACACUUCCUGAAAGAAAAGAAUAUUGAAAGAUUAAAAACAGAGGUUCACUUAUUUCUGCACUUAGUUCCUUAAGUACACGUGGAUGGAUACCGUCAGGCCCUGGAGCUUUGUUUAUAUUAACUUUCUUUAGUUGCUGCAGCACCUUGUCUUGAGUUAACCAAUUACAAUUAUUCUGCAAGUUUUUAGUAGCAAUCAUUUGCACAUCUAUUGCCAUGGGUUCUUCCUUAAUAUAUACGGAGGAGAAAAAGUUAUUUAAAAUUCCUGCCUUUUCCUGGUCUUCAUUAAUUAACACCCCCGUUUCAGUUUUUAGUGUACCUACACUUUCAUUUUGUUUUUUUUUAGAAUUUAUGUACUUAAAAAAUGCUUUGGGGUUGGUUUUGCUCUCUUCAGCUAUCAUUAUUUCAUUUUGAAGUUUAGCAAGUCUAAUUGCCUUUUUGCACGCAUUAUUUGCAUCCUUAUAUCUUUUAUAAGAUGCAUCUGAUUUGUCCGAUUUAAAUGCUUUAAAUGCCCUUCUCUUAGUUGUAAUCUCUUGUUUUACUUCUCUACUAAGCCAUGUUGGUUUUAAUUUGUUUCUUUUAUAUUUAUUUCCCAAUGGUACAUACUGAGAAAUGUACCUUUGUAAUAUUUGUUGGAAGAUGAUCCAUUUAUCCUCAGUGUUCUUUUCACUAAAGAGUUUAUGCCAGUCAAUAUAUUGUAAAGCUUCCCUUAACUUAUUGAAAUUGGCCUUUUUAAAAUUAUAUGUUUUAGUAUUCCCCAUGUGCUUUUGUUUUUUUGAGUUUAUUUCAAAGGACACUAUAUUGUGAUCACUAUUUCCCAAGUGCUCACCUACUUGAAUGUUGGUCAAAAGAUCAACGUUGUUUGUUAAAACCAGGUCCAGACAAGCAUCCAUUCUAGUUGGUGCUUGUACAAGUUGUGACAUGAAGGUGUCAUUUAACAAGUUUAAAAACCUAAUUCCCUUUGCUGAGGCACUAGUCCCUCUGUCCCAAUUUAUAUCCGGGUAAUUAAAAUCUCCAAUAAUUAAAGUGUUACCCAGAUUUGCAGCUUUCUCAAUUUGCUCAAACAGCUGUUGUUCCUCGUCAAUAUUAACAUUAGGUGGUUUAUAACAUAUCCCAACCAAUAGUUGGUUUCCCUUCUUUUCCCCCAAGCAGAUAUUUACCCAUAAAGCUUCCACAUUAUCCUCCUCGCAUUCCAUUUGCUUAACAUUUGGCUUUAAAUCAUGUUUGACAUACAAACAUACCCCACCACCCUUCUUGUUUUUCCUAUCCUUCCUAAAUAACAUGUACCCAUUUAAGUUAGCUGCCCAGUCAUGUGUCUCAUCCCACCAUGUUUCAGUUAUGCCUAUUAUAUCAUAUUGUUUAGUGUAUGCUAAUGCCUCUAGUUCCCCCAUUUUGUUAUUUAGGCUCCUUGCAUUAGUAAGCAUACAUUUAAUAUUAUGCGUCACUUGUAUAUUUUGUGAAUUUUCAACAUUACACAGCUUCUCUGUUCUGAGCUUGCCCCUCCCCCCGUUUCCACCCCCCUUAUACUGUGCUAAAGCCCAUCUCCUUUCUGUCCUAUCUCCAUUUUGUAGAUUGCUAUGACCCUCCCCCCCUACUACUAGUUUAAAAUCUCCUCCAACCUUCUAGCCAUCCUAUCCCCCAGCACUGCAGACCCUCUCCCGUUUAAUAAAAGAACAACUGUAUCCUCCCAGCAAGGGAGAAGGUAAAAACAGGGAUCAAGAGUGAUUAGUUCCAAAAACCUGUACACCCCACAGUUCCAAUGGGAGAAAAAAACAAAAAAACAUACUGCCCUAAGAUAAAACUUGUCUCUACAGGGGUGAGACAGAAAGUUCUUGUUCUGAGGUUAAACAAUAUAUAUUAAAAAAUAACCAGACAUUACUGGUAUUACUAAGGUAUACAUGUGUAUGCAAGUAGUAGUAACUGGAAUCUAUAGUUACAAAGAUCCUUGUAAAAUAAUAAGAAAGUCCUUGACAACGAUGGUAGUUGUAGUAGGUAGUUCAAUGUAUUUCACCGAUUAAGAUAGGUUCCAAGAUAUGAAAUGACAAUAAAUAACAGAGGGAACAAACAAUAGUUUGAUAUUGUUUAUAACCAGUGCAGAAGAAAUAUUAUUUAUAAAAAUACACUCACAAACAAUAAGCCGUCUGUUGGCUUGAUUGUAUCUGCUUCUGACAAUAUAAUCCUUGUCACAGGAUGUUAGCUGAAGAAUCACAGCAAGGUCUUUGUAGGGACACUGGUAUGUCUUACGUUAUCUUCACAACAUACGCAUCGGUAUAAUCCCCACUCAAGGAUAUAGCUUGUAAAGGAUGUUCCUCCGUAUUUUCCAAUGGGUAUAUAGUAAAAUAUAGAAAAAAAGCCAUUCAGUUACCCAUUUGUUGUAGUACUCUGGUGAUUAUGUCAGUUGGAGGCAAAACAGCCUCCUCUUAUUCCACUAUUUCAUAGCACUAUUAAUAGAGCUCUGAGUGGGCUCUGUCGUGAGAGAGUUCAUGGUUACCUCUCACCAGGGAAAACAUAGAGGCUACAGAAGAUUAAUUAUACUUAAACUAAUGUAUAUGAGAGAAUGAGUAGUUUUAUUUAUGUAUAUGUGGGAGACUAAACAAAUACAUGCAUACAAUAAUGUGGAAGUGGAAGGGCUGUGCCACAUGUAAUACGAUAAAACAAAUAAAGUAAAAUAUAAAAUAAAAUAAAUACUGUGAGUCUUAAAAUUGUCUCUUAUUCAGGAGCUAGUUUCAACUGUGGUUCCUAGGUUCUUUAUACUUGGGGGGGUCUUGUUGUCUUUAGGCUCUGUAUGUGGGUGAGAAAGAGACAGAAUAACCUGAUAGUGCAGUAAGUCAGGGCUAAGUAGGCCUGUUAUUAAUAAUAACAGUAUUGCUCUCACAUUUAAGAGAGCUAUAACCAGCUCUAGUGUAGAUCGCCUAUAGUGGUAUUAUCCCCAUUUAUGUGAUAUGGUGGUGGUAGGUCUCGACUGGUAGUUGUCUAGAUGCUCAGAGAGAAAAUAAGAAUAGCCACAGAUAGUGCUCUCAGUAAGACAAUAAUAAUAGUGUUGAAUAUAAAAAUUGUACUUACAAACGUAGAGCAGGCUCACUGUUCUGUGGUGACUGCGUUGGUGGUAUAAUCCCCACCUAGGAUUUGCUUGGGAGUAGUAGCAGAUGAAGUUAAAACUUUGGAGAUAAUAAUAAUAAUAAUAAGUAAUAAAAUAUAUUAUUAUUUUAAAAAAGCCAGGAAAAAUGUAUAAAUACAGAGGUAUUGGUACAAUAAAAUGUUGUAAAACCAAAGUCCUUUAUUAUAUCAGAUAAAAAAACAUAAUUUCCAUAACACGUUCCGUCAUAACAGACUUUUUCAAAUGGGUUAGAGCAUGCAUCCUGACUAAUAGGCUUUAAAUAAGGUUAAGAUCAUUUAAAAAUGGUGCCAAAAAUGUGUGCAUCAAUCAUAGUUUAGAAUAAUAAUAAUAAUAACAUAAAAUGAAUAAAUUAACCAUUGGCACUUUAAAGUAUAGGUAUAAGAAGUGUUAAGUGAUAAUUAAGAUAAAAAAACUAGGGUGUUAUAGUGUUUAAUAUGUGUGGGGAAGGUGGCCAUGUGAUUCGCGGCACUUUGCCGCAUGGGAAAUGUAGUUUCCGGCAUUUUUUAGGGGCGCUGUUCAUUACAUCACUGGUGUGGGCGUGUGCGGCCGUGAAACUAGUGGAUGGUGCGCACUUGUUGCAUGCUCUAAUCCAUUUGAAAAAGUCUGUUAUGACGAAACGCAUUAUGGAAAUUACUUUUUUUAUCUGAUAUAAUAAAGGACUUUGGUAUUACAACAUUUUAUUGAACCAAUACCCUUUUAUUUAUACAUUUUUCCUGGCUUUUUAAAUAAUAAUAUAUUUUAUUACUUAUUAUUAUUAUUCUUAUCUCCAAAUUUUUAACUUCAUCUUCUACUACUCCCAAGCAAAUCCUAGGGGGGAAUUAUACCACCGAUGCUUUCACCACAGAGCAGUGAGCCUGCUCUUCGUUUGUAAGUACAAUUUUUAUAUUCAACACUGUUAUUAUUGUCUUACUGAGAGCACUAUCUGUGUCUUACUGAGAGCUCUAUCUGUGGCUAUUCUUAUUUUCUCUCCGAGCAUCUAGACAACUACUAGUCGAGACCUACCACCACCAUAUUCCAUACAUGGGGAUUAUACCAUUAUAGGCGAGCCACACUAGAGCUGGUUAUAGCUCUCUUAAAUGUGAGAGCAAUACUGUUAUUAUUAAUAACAGGCCUACUUAGCCCUGACUUACUGCACUAUCAGGCUAUUCUGUCUCUUUCUCACCCACAUACGGAGACUAAAGACAACAAGACCUCCCAAGUAUAAAGAACCUAGGAACCACAGUGGAAACUACCUCCUGAAUAAGAGACACUUUUAUAUGUGACAAUUUCCCCAUCUGGAAUAAGACUCACAGUAUUUAUUUUAUUUCAUAUUUUACUUUAUCUUUUUUAAUGUAUAACAUGUGGCACAGCCCUUAACUGUCUUUUACUUUUGUAUUAUCCGAUAGGGUUGAGAGGGGACUUUUUGUUCAUUCUUCUAUGUUACUGAACGCUGACCCAUCUGUGUAUUUUUACUAUAUAAUAAUGUGGGUAUGCUUUGUGUAUAUAAAGUAAUACAAUGUGAGCAAGAUAUUACUUUGCUGCAGAGGGAUUUAGAUAGACUGUUGGACUGGGCACUGGGCACUCAAAUGGCAGAUGAAAUUUAAUCUUGAAAAAUGCAAAGUUAUGCACUUCGGUUGUAAAGAAUGCACAAGCAAUGUAUACCCUUAAUGGAAACUAAUUAGGGAUAACAACACACGAAAAGGACUUGGGAAUUGUUAUAGACAACAAACUAUGCAACAAUGUGCAAUAUCAAUCAUCAGAGGCUAAGUCCAGUAAGGUAUUGUCAUGCAUGAAAAAGGGCAUUCAUUCUCGGGAUGAGAAUAUAAUUUCACCUCUUUAUAAAUCACUGGUAAGACCACAUAUUGAAUAUGUUGUGCAAUUUUGGGCACCUGUUCUAAAGAAGGAUAUUAUGGCACUAGAAAAAGUGCAGAGGCGGGCUACAAAAUUAAUAAAAGGAAUGGAACAUAUCAGCUAUGAAGAAACGUUAACAAAUUUAAACAUCUUUAGUUUAGAAAAUUUCGCCUGAGAGAGCAUAUGAUAACAUUAUACAAAUAUAUAGGCGGCCAAUACAAAUCAGUGUGUGGAAAUCUAUUCACAAACCGGACUUUACAUAGGACACAAGGUCAUGCAUUAAGACUGGAAGAAAGAAGAUUUUGUCUAAGGCAAAGAAAAGGUUUUUUUACUGUAAGAACAAUAAGGAUGUGGAAUUCUCAGCCUGAAAAGUGGUUUUAUCAGAGUCCAUACAUAUGAUCUAACAGCAACUAGAUGCAUACUUGUAAAAACAGACUAUUCAAGGAAAUAAAUUUUCAAUGUAGGGUAAUAACUGCUUGAUCCAAGGAUAAAUCUGACUGCCAUUCUGGGGUCAAGAAGGAUUUUUUCCUAGUUUGUUGCAAAAUUGUGCAAAAAGUGCUUCAAACUGGUUUUUUUUGCUUUCUUUUGGAUCAACAGCAAAAAACAAAUGUGAGGAAGGCUGAACUUGAUGGAUGCAAGUCUCUUUUCAGCUAUGUAACUAUAUAUGGGAGGGUGUGGGUAUGACUGUAUGUGAGAGAGUGAAGGCAUGCCAGUAUGUCUGUGUGUAUUGGAGAGUGUAGAGUAGGAGCAGUUAUUGUUUACAAAGUACCAUGGUGAUCAGAUGGUAGAUCUUGUUAAGAAGACUUCCAAUAGCUUAUAUUUCAUCUCAUUAAUGUCUGACCACCCAUUUCUUAAUCAAUUUUAAAUUUUAAUUUCAGAUAUGGAAAAUUGUUUGCUGUGUCCAGAAGAUGAAUAUCCUGAUGUUGAUCAAGUCACUUGUCUGCCGAGAACCAUAGAUUUUUUAACCUACCAUGAACCUCUUGGUGCAACUUUAGCAUCAUUUGCAGUAAUGCUAUUUUUCAUCACAACUGUCAUACUUAGUAUUUUUAUAAUGUACAGACAUACACCCAUAGUACGAGCCAAUAAUACGUAUCUAAGUUACGUCAUUCUAUUUUCCCUCAUGCUUUCCUUCCUUUUUUGCUUGUUAUUUUUUGGCUCGCCUAAUAAGAUCACAUGCUUGCUGCAAAAUGCAAUUUUUAACAUAAUCUAUGCUGUGGCUCUGUCAUCUGUUCUGACAAAAACAAUUAUAGUUUUAGUAGCCUUUUCAGUUGUAAAGCCUGGGAGCAAAUUCAGGAUAUUUUUAAGAUCCAGAGUAUCCAUCUUUAUAGCGGUGUUCUUUUGCUUCGGUGAAGUUGGAAUCUGCUUCUGGUGGUUAACAUCCUGGCCUCCAUUCCCUGACAAAGACUCAAAAGUGGAAGUUGCUAAGCUAAUACUUCAUUGCAAUGUUGGCUCUCUCCUUUUGUUUUAUGUUGCUCUAGGUUAUAAUUGGUUCCUUGCACUUUGUAGUUUUAUUGUAGCUUUUCUAGCCAAGCAGUUGCCAGAUCUAUUUAAUGAGGCCCGUUAUAUCACUUUUAGUAUGCUUGUGUUCUGCAGUGUUUGGGUCUCGUUUAUCCCAGCAUAUAUGAGCACCAAAGGGAAAUCUAUGGUUGCUGUAGAAGUAUUUGCUAUCCUGGCUUCCAGCACAGGGAUUUUGGGGUGUAUAUUUUUACCCAAGUGCUAUAUUAUCAUAUUCAGGCCCGAAUUAAAUACUAAACAAUCUUUAUGCGGUACUGGUUUGUAUUAAGUGUUUAGAUUAUUAGAUUAUAGAAUAUUAGAUUAUUUUGUAGAAAAUAAUUAGCUGAGCAAUAGCAAUAUGGACAUUAUCAAAUAGUACAGGUUUUUAGACUGAAAAGUUGUAUUUCUUAAACUGUGUACUUUGUAUUUAAGAGCUUUUGCAAACUGACAAGUUGUUCGAAAUGGAACACCUUAAUUCUCAUACAAUGACCUCUUACACAUAUUCAGUGCAUAAGAUAUUUAGACUUUAAGAGGCCAUUUUUUCCAAGAUCAAUGUAACACCAAGUCAAGGCAUUGCCUAUGUCAUGUUCAACCUUAAGGUUUAGUACAAACAUAGAUAAGAUGUCUAGGCCAUGACCAUAGACUGAUUAAGAUGUUCCCAUGUGAAAUGACCAAGUCAAGGCUGCGUCAUUUAAUGGUCAUGACCUUUGUAACGGAUCGACAGGCACCUUGACUGGGUACCUCCGUUAAAGGAUGCUCCUAGCACUUCCUGAGGGCUCCAAGCACUCCAGCCAACACCAUAAUCACCGUAGACUCCUUCAGAGAGCAAGACAGGAACAAGCUCUUAUAAGAGCUUAGUAGUGAUAUAGCAAGGGAGUAUGACUAGCAUAGCAAUCCCUUGUAGCAGAUUUUCCCAAUAAGGGACGGCACUCCAAAUUGAGGGUGAAGUAGAACUGAAGUUUUUAAUCCAACACUCUGCUUUUAUGCCCAUUUUACAAACACAGGGUUUGGCAGAACAACCAAUCAAUACGUACAAUACACACAGACACUCCCACACAAAAUCCUCCCCUCUGCCUGUGAUAGAAUUACCUUACACAAUGGGUUAAUAUAAUUAUCACAGGCAGGAAAAUACACAGUUUUACACAAUAUUCAUAACUUUAAAAGUAUGCAUCACAAUCACACGUCAAAAUCAUACAAAUUUGUCCAGUGGGUCAAAAGUUAGAUCGACGUCCUUUGUGACCAAAUUAAGCAUUUAUUUUCUGCCCAAAACCAGUUUCACGGAGUCUUCUAUCCUGGAGAUAAUUGGGAAGUAAUCCAAUUAUCUCCAAGGAAAGAGGCAAAACUCCAUUGAACACAUGGUAGCAAAAGACAAUAAAAUACAUAAAAAUAUAUAACUGUGCAGCUAUUGCAUAAAACAGGUACAUUCAACAUAUCCCCAGUGUUGUGGUCGUGACCUAAAUAUGAAUAUUAAUCUCUUAAUACAUAAUAAUUAAGCAAUACGGAACAACAUUAAUAUUUUUAUAAUUCAUGGUAUUAUGGUCGAAUAUGUGGAUAGAAAAUACACAAAACGUUGUAAUAUUAAAUGUAUAUUUAAUAUAACUAUAAUAAAUAAACAGAUGCUAGCGGAAUGUCAAUUUACCACAAUAGUUAUACAAUAAAAUACUACACAAAACACUAUUGGUUGCUAAAUAUUAUACAAAAGGCUAUUACAAUAGCUAACUGUAACAAUGGAUUCAUAUCACUUACAAGGCCCCAGCCAAAGGGCUGGGGCUAAGUCAGAGCUGGUACUACAUGAUCAGUCAGGUACAGGCAAAAAGAGAGAGAGCUUCUCCUAACAUCUGGUUUUUAUUCAGUGUAAGUAGGCUGGCCUGUGAUGUCACUGCCAGAAGCACAGGUCUUCCUACACACUCCCCCUAGUAGUGCCCCCAAAGUAUUACACUAAAUAUGCUUUACUGACAUCUAGUGGUGCGUCUAAAGCAUUAAGCUCAUUAUGCUUUUUUUAUGACAAAAAGUCAUUAAUUAAUAAAUACCAUUACACCCCAGAUAGAUUAUUACUGAAUGGCGCUCAGAUCACAUACAUACAGUUCAAUUGCCAUGGAACCAAAGUCUUUCACAUAGUUUUUCGUUAUACGAAUGGGCUCCAUGGCAUAGCUAUCUGGGGUUCAAAUAGGGCAAAUAUCGAAUGACCCGGCUUUCGGGUCUUUGCAGGGGAAAAUCAAACAUUUCAACAUGGGGCCAUAGUCACAGGGCAGGAGGCUGGCAAUCAGUCCAAUGCCCAGUGGCGAAGCUGGUUCUGCCACAACCUUGUAUCUUUGCCAAGUUAAAGUAGAUUACAUUGUUUUUCUGAUUUAUUAACAAAACCUAUUUAAAAUCUAGGGUACAAGUAAGUAUAUUUAUUAAUAUUAGGAAACAGAGGGGGAAAUUUUGGAUGCAAAGACGCUGCUCCACUUUACAAGAAUGAGAGGUUGACUUUUUCAACAGGGUAUGUUAUUCUAUUUUACUGAUAUUACAAGCAUAUACUUUAAUCGUAUAAAUUCUGUUGUAAAUUAUUAUAAUGGAU